rnacentral:rRNA from 1 species
GGUUUCCGUAGGUGAACCUGCGGAAGGAUCAUUAUCAAAACAGCGGACUUCGGUCCUUGCUGCACCCUUGUCUUUUGCGUACCGUAUGUUUCCUCGGCGGGCUUGCCUGCCGGUUGGACAUUAUCAAACCUUUUUGUAGUUGCAAUCAGCGUCAGAAAAUAAACAAUAAUUACAACUUUCAACAACGGAUCUCUUGGUUCUGGCAUCGAUGAAGAACGCAGCGAAAUGCGAAAAGUAGUGUGAAUUGCAGAAUUCAGUGAAUCAUCGAAUCUUUGAACGCACAUUGCGCCCCUUGGUAUUCCAUGGGGCAUGCCUGUUCGAGCGUCAUUUUGUACCCUCAAGCACUGCUUGGUGUUGGGCGUUUGUCCUGCAAAGGACUCGCCUGAAAGCGAUUGGCGGCCAACGUACUGGUGGUAGAGCGCAGCACAAUUUGCGUCUCUCCCUUCUACGUCGGCGUCCAUGAAGCCUUUUUUCAACGUUUGACCUCGGAUCAGGUAGGGAUACCCGCUGAACUUAAGCAUAUCAAUAAGCGGAGGAGUCAUAG